AGGAUUAACGCUGGCGGCGUGCCUAAUGCAUGCAAGUCGAACGCGGGCGCCUUCGGGUGCUUGGCGUGGCGGACGGGUGAGGAACACGUGGGCAAGGUGCCCUGAGGUGGGGGGUAGCCCUCGGAAACGAGGGGUAAUUCCGCAUGAGCUGCUUGACUGGUGGGUUGAGCAGGAAAGGGCGCAAGUCUCGCCUUGGGAGCCGCCUGCGGCCGAUUAGCUAGUUGGUGGGUCGAGGCCUACAAGGCGGUGAUCGGUAGCUGGUCUGAGAGGACGCAGCACGACGGGACUGAGACACCGGCCCCGACGUCCGUACCGGGAGGCACGGACCAGUACCAAGGGUAACGUUUUACCCG
rnacentral:rRNA from 1 species